GCUCCACAGGGGCGGACUCCACAGCCGGGCAAACGUCCGGGCCACGGAAACACCUUACACAACGGCCGCCCGGCGCCCGGAGGGUCUUGGUUCUCCCUCUGCCGGAGGGAAGCGGUGUCCCUCCUUCCAUCUGAGGUGGAUUCUUCUGGCUCCUGCUGUCUCAAUUUAGAUGUCACUUCCUCUGUCCAAGUCUGGGACCGGAGCCUUCUCACAGCACUCCAUACUGGAUCAUCACUGCCCAUUGGUUUUGUUCCCUCUUUGAGCUCCAAGAGGAGAAAGAACACAUUGAUUUCACAGUUGUAUCCCCAACAGAGCAGAUACGUAGACACCUGUGCAAUAAA